UGGUAUUUAGUUUAAAACAAAACAAAUGAUUUCGACUCAUUAAAUUAUGAACCAACUCAUAAAUACCAA